GACGAACGCUGGCGGCGUGCUUAACACAUGCAAGUCGAACGGAAAGGCCCUGCUUUCGGGGUGCUCGCGUGGCGAACGGGUGAGUAACACGCGGGUGAUCUGCCCCUUUCUUUGGGUUAAGCCUCUUAAACUGGGUCUAAUACUUGAUAGAACCUUUCUGUAGGCGUUGUGGUGGAUAGAUUAGUUUGGGUUAGGGUUGAUAUCUCGGCCGAUCAGCUCGUUGGUGGGGUAAUGGCCUAACAAGGCGUCGCCGGGUAGCCGGCCAGAGAGGGUGGAAGGCAAGAUUGAGACUGCGACGCGGGGCAGACGCCGACGAGAGGCAGCAGUGGGGGAUAGUGUACAAGAGGCGCAAGCCGGAUGCAGCGACGGCGCGGGGAGGAUGACGGCCUGCGGGUAGUAAAGAACAAACGGCUAUGAAGAAGCCCUUGUGGUGACGGUAGUGGUAGAAGAAGCACCGGCUAACUACGUG
rnacentral:rRNA from 1 species